rnacentral:lncRNA from 1 species
UUAUAAAAUACUUGCUCCUGUGAAACUUGUCUCUGUGACACUAAUAUCGUUCAAAAAACACUACUUGUCUCUGUGAGAACUUGUCUCUGUGAAACAUCCCCAAAGAUAUUAUUAAACGAUCCUUCCCAAGUGUUGAUUUAGUCAAAAUGAGAAAUGAUGGUGAAUGGACCACUGAAGCCGAAAUAUUCUCGACAGCUGCAUUCUUGGAGACCGACAUUUACGUCUACCAUCCACAGAGUGGUGGGUAUGAAUGGCUGAAACAUUCCAAAAAUUUUAUAUUGAAUUGUAAUUUGGAAUGUGAUGAUAAGUUGUCAAGAGCGCUUUAUAUAGUCAAUAAAAGCGGACAACAUUUUGAAGUUGCGUAUUCGGUUGUAACUCACUGAAUACGCACUACAACUACCCCAAAGUCAACAUCACCGAUCCUGAAAUCUAACAGGAUGGAGGAAAAGAUGUACCAUCAACGACAACCUGGCAAUAUUGUGGAAUGAAGCUGGCACCAAAUGGGAUUAUUCUACAAAAAAUGCAAUAAAUGGGAAGAUUUGAGGGAAGACGAAGAGGAAGAGAAUGAGGGAGAGAUACAAGAAGGAGUCUGACUUUAAAUAUCUUAAUUUCAAAUAUCGCUCAUACAAAACUCCAAUAAACACAAUGGAGGACUAUCGACAAAUUGAAAGAAAAGCAGAAGGAAUUGAAAAAUGAAGAAGAAAAAACUGACCAAAUGUGAGAAAUAGAAAAUAUCAUGAAUAGAAUCUCGGCAAAUCAAAAAUUCAAUCAACACCCUCAAAGGUAAUAUGAAAAAAUAUAUUCUACUCUUAACUCAAUAAUAUUAUACCAGUAUUCUUGAAAUAACUAAUUUUUCUUGUUGCAGAUUUUGUUAUGAAUGCUGUGAAAACGUUAAAAAACGAGUAUAACAAAGAAAAUGGAGAAAAGACAUCUAUGAAAAAUCUCCACUUAUUUGAGUCUUAAAUCAACACCUCUAAGAUUGUGUUCUAGGAUCAAGAUGGUAUCAGGACUAAGAAAGGCUUAGAAAGUUGAAGAUACAUGUAUAUAUGAUGAAGUUUAGGUCAAGGACAUCUGGAUAAAUUUUUGCCAAUUGAAUAAUACUCAAGUCAACACCCUGAGGAGUACCCUAUCAACAUCAACAGACUGAAUCAAACAUGUGUAGAUAGUGCAUGGAAUGAACAUAGCAGAAAUGAGCUACAGUGAGUCGGGUGGCGCCGAUGUCAUUGAGCAGUUAAUACAGAGCUAGCUGGGGCACUCUUACUACUUAGCCUUAGCAUGUUCUCCAUAUGUUCAAAUCUAUUAUUAAAUUUCAGCUGCAUUUUACAAUAGUAUGUAAUCAAGAAUAACUAGUUUAAAAUGAUUUUCAUGUAAUAAUGAUGAAUAUAAAAAACAACAGUAUCACAAGGUUAUUCUGUUUCAUCUGAAUUUUUAUCUGCAUGUGUAUUUAUCCUUCCAGCAUAAUAGGAUACAAAUACUAUAGUUAACCGCACAAAAAUAGUCUGAUGGAAAUUGGAAUGGCUGAGUACCUUCUCACCCCCGAACCCAUAGACGUUUACAAGUCAAAAUAUGUAUUAGAAAAAUAUUUAUCAAUUUGACAACUUCUUCAAUAAUAAACAUAAUUUGCACUCAUCUUUUCCAUCAGACUAUUCUCGUGCGGUUGACUAUAGUGACCUAUGGCAUUAAAUAAAAAUUGUCUGAGAAUACUAAUAAUAAUUUAUUGAUUCUUCUCCACUUUCACAACAAUUGAAAAAACACAAAAAAUUUCUAUACAUGAUAAAAAUAUAAAAAAGGUCAAAUGGCACACAAGACUUUCGUCUGAUCGUGAGCCUAAGGAAAAUAAAAACAAGAAAUUACAAAAAAGGUGAAAAACAACUACGGUAAGCAAAUGAAGAAGAACAAGAGGUUUGAAAAACUAAAGAAACUAUAGUAAGGUUAAGAAAAACACUAAGGGCCGUUUGCAUACGGUAGUCAAAGCUUAAAGGAAAUUGAAUCAGUUGGUGGCUUAAACUCAAAAUGAAACACAUUAUAACAAACACGACUUGAUACGGAUUUAAUCCACUUGAAAAUGAAAUUCAGUUUGAACUGUGACUGUUCAAACGGCACUAAGUGUCAGUUGCACAAAAGCCGGUUAAAUUUUAAACGUGAUUAAUUUUACGAGAAUCAAUCAGAGAAGCCUUCUUUUCUAAUAGGCCUUCUCUGAUUGGUUCUCUUGAAGUUAAUCACGGUCAAAGUUUAAUCGGCUUCUGUGCAACCGGGCCUAACUUUCCAAAUUCAUCUGAUUUCGAAGCUUCUCUUCAAUUAGAUAGAUAAUAAAGUUAUAACUGUGUUACAACUCUGAAAAUAAUGUCAUAACUCUCAUAACACUGUUAAAACAUAGAAAUCAGAGGAUAUGUAUUGAACAAUACCUUUGGUUUUAUUACGGAAAUCGAUAUUGAGCUUUUAUUUGCAUGAAUCAAUAUACUUCAUAGGUAGCGAAUAGCAAGAUGGACCCUGUUGUCAUUAUAUUUUCAAAUGGCUGCAAGGGACCAUUCCGUUAUGCACUACAAUUCUGGGUACAAGUGGAUCUUCGAGCAAUAACCGUUCCCUUUUAGGUUAUCUUACUGUUGGUUAUGGAUACUCGGCAUUCUGUGCGACGUCAUAGUUCCUAAGAAUAUUCUGGUGACGUCAUAGUGACUAAGAAUAUCACUGCAUGUGUAUGCGCGUGCGUACGUUGCCCUGUGACGUAACGUACUAAGACUAUUUCAUACUA